GGCCUUGCGCUGGCGAUGUUUCAUUCAAAUUUCAGCCCUAUCAACUGUCGAUGGUAAGGUAGUGGCUUACCAUGGUUGCAACGGGUGACGGAGAAUUAGGGUGCGAUUCCGGAGAGGGAGCCUGAGAUACGGCUACCACAUCCAAGGAAGGCGGCAGGCGCGCAAAUUACCCAAUCCCGACUCAGGGAGGUAGUGACAAGAAAUAACACU
rnacentral:rRNA from 1 species